rnacentral:rRNA from 1 species
UACGUAGGUGGCGAGCGUUGUCCAGAUUUACUGGGCGUAAAGAGCGCGCAGGCGGUCGUUCAAGUCGCGUGUGAAAGCCCCCGGCUCAACUGGGGAGGGUCACGCGAUACUGAUCGACUCGAAGGCAGGAGAGGGAAGUGGAAUUCCCGGUGUAGUGGUGAAAUGCGUAGAUAUCGGGAGGAACACCAGUGGCGAAGGCGACUUCCUGGCCUGUUCUUGACGCUGAGGCGCGAAAGCUAGGGGAGCAAACGGG